GAUGUGGGGGUUUAUUUUGCCGGCUUUCACAAGUCAGCUCCCCUUAAAUGUAUUAGCCGGUGCCCUCUAACCGUCUAUUGGUGUGAUAAUUAUCUACGCCGUGGACUAUUAGACUUGGUUGCAUUGCUUCUAACUGUCCUUUAUGGACAAUAUAAUGACAUUUUGACCUCAAAUCAGGUAGGACUACCCGCUGAACUUAA
rnacentral:misc_RNA from 1 species